rnacentral:rRNA from 1 species
CAGUGGGGAAUAUUGCACAAUGGGGGAAACCCUGAUGCAGCCAUGCCGCGUGUGUGAAGAAGGCCUCGGGUUGUAAAGCACUUUCAGUAGGGAGGAAGGUAGUGUAGUUAACACCUGCAUUAUUUGACGUUACCUACAGAAGAAGCACCGGCUAACUCCGUGCCAGCAGCCGCGGUAAUACGGAGGGUGCGAGCGUUAAUCGGAAUUACUGGGCGUAAAGCGCAUGCAGGCGGCCUGUUAAGUCAGAUGUGAAAGCCCGGGGCUUAACCUCGGAAUUGCAUUUGAAACUGGCAGGCUAGAGUCUUGUAGAGGGGGUAGAAUUUCAGGUGUAGCGGUGAAAAUGCGUAGAGAUCUGAAGGAAUACCAGUGGCGAAGGCGGCCCCCUGGACAAAGACUGACGCUCAGAUGCGAAAGCGUGGGGAGCAAACAGGUUUAGAUACCCUGGUAG